UUGCUGUGAUGACCUCUUAGGACACCUUUGGAUGACCCAUGAAAACAAACUGUUAUAAUCUGAGCGAC
ensembl:snoRNA SNORD58 Small nucleolar RNA SNORD58